rnacentral:rRNA from 1 species
GGGUCAGUAGGUUGGUCGUGCCACCGGUACGUACUGGUCUCACUGAUUCCUCCUUCCUGAAGAACCGUAAUGCCACUAAUUUGGUGUUGCGGGGAAACAGGACUGUUGCUUUGAAAAAAUUAGAGUGUUUAAAGCAAGCUAACGCUUGAAUACAUUAGCAUGGAAUAAUGAAAUAGGACGAUCGAUCCUAUUUUGUUGGUUUCUAGGAUUGACGUA